AAUUGCCUGGUUCGAGGCCCUGGCUGCCAGGGGGGAUGCACCCCUUUGGCUCUUCCCUGCUGAGGUGAACCGAGUGUGUCCCUGGCGCGCUGGCAAAGGCCGUGGAAUGGGCCCACCCUGAGAAUUCCAGCUUCGCCUCGUACCAGCUGGAUAACCUGGGGAGCCGCGAGCCCUCCCUGGGCCUCAGCCCCUGGAACAGUGGAGCCAACGGGAGAAACGGCCUCACCGGAUUGAUGCGGGGAUUGAGCAGGGCAUGGGCGGCGGGCAAACGCGGGUUAUUAUGACUCUACUCCUCCGGGCGUGCGUCCCAGCGCCAUCCCAUUCCCCGCCCCGCGCCCGGCCUAGACCCUCCGACCCCGCCCCUGCGCGGACCGCGAGCAGGAAUGCGAGCAGGCCCGGGGCGCGCGGACCGCCGCCGCAUUUCCGGGCCGGCGGGUGCGGGCGGCGGGGGAGGGGCAGCCAGGGCCUGCGCCGGCGGCCGAGUGACGCGCCCCCUCAUUUGCAUGCGGCGCGCCCAUUGGCCACGGCGGCCGCCGGGACGGGAGGCGGGUCCCCUCCCCCUCCCGCCGCAGCGGCGGCAGCAGCUGGGCUCGGUGUAAACAAGUCCAGGCGCCUGCGAACCCGGGCCGGGGGGGACGGCGCCCGCCAGGAGCGCCCCCCAGUCCCAGGCCAGCCCACCCCGGCGGACCGGGCCCAGCGCGCCCAGGCGAGGCACUGGGCUCCCUCUGCUCCCCGUGGGCCGCUCCCCGCGUGGGGCCACUGCCCCCGGCCCCCGCCAUGGUGCGGAUUUCAAAGCCCAAGACGUUUCAGGCCUACUUGGAUGAUUGUCACCGGAGGUAUAGCUGUGCCCACUGCCGCGCUCACCUGGCCAACCACGACGACCUCAUCUCCAAGUCCUUCCAGGGCAGUCAGGGGCGUGCCUACCUCUUCAACUCUGUGGUGAACGUGGGCUGCGGGCCAGCCGAGGAGCGGGUGCUGCUGACCGGCCUCCAUGCUGUCGCCGACAUCCACUGCGAGAACUGCAAGACCACUUUGGGCUGGAAAUAUCGAUCCUGUAGGUAGAAGCUAUUAUUAUCUCUACAGAAGAAGACAGGGAGGCCCAGAGAUGUUAGGUAACUUGGCCAAGAUCACACAACUGGAACAGGCCUUUGAGAGCAGCCAGAAGUACAAAGAGGGGAAGUACAUCAUUGAACUCAACCACAUGAUCAAAGACAACGGCUGGGACUGACCCCAGCUUCCCGACGCAUGUGGCUCCAGCCCGGCCUGGCCGCCAGGGAGCGCCACCGGCUUCCCUCCGCCCGAAGGGAGCUCUGGACCCUCAGGGCCCCUGCAGAGGACGGAUCCGGCUCCUGUACAUAUAUUUUAUUGCAUGCACUGUGACCUUGGGGGGAGAUCAGAAGGGGGACGACGCCCCCGCACCUCCUGCGAUCUGGCUGGCUUGGAUCUCGUUUUUAACCCCUUCCUACCCCGCCUGCCCUAUAGAUAUGGCCUGUGUGCUGCUCCCCUGGCCCCAGUGCACUGUCUGCUCUGUGAACUUCUCCCACCAGGCCCCUCUUACCCCACGCGUGUCUGUCCCCCUCGUUCUGUAGCGUUUGUACAUAAUAAAACAAUGGAGUGGAGACA